rnacentral:rRNA from 1 species
UUCCGUAGGUGAACCUGCGGAGGGAUCAUUACAGAGUUGAAAAACUCCAACCCCUGUGAACAUACCUUUACUGUUGCUUCGGCGGACGAUGGCCCCCCCCGGGGGCCGGACGCCGCCGGAGGUUACAAACCCUGAAUUUUAGUGUAUCUCUGAGUAUAAAACCAAAUAAUUAAAACUUUCAACAACGGAUCUCUUGGUUCUGGCAUCGAUGAAGAACGCAGCGAAAUGCGAUAAGUAAUGUGAAUUGCAGAAUUCAGUGAAUCAUCGAAUCUUUGAACGCACAUUGCGCCCGCCGGUAUUCCGGCGGGCAUGCCUGUCCGAGCGUCAUUUCACCACUCAAGCCCAGCUUGGUGUUGGGGCACCCGGCCGCCCGGCGGUCGGGGCCCCCAAGAACAUCGGCGGUCUCGCCAGGACCCUGAACGCAGUAACUCGCGGUAAAACGCGCUUCGUUCGGAGGCUUCCCGGCGGGCUCCAGCCGCUAAACCCCCUAAACUUCUUAGGUUGACCUCGGAUCAGGUAGGAAUACCCGCUGAACUUAAGCAUAUCAAU